AGAUGCAAGAAUUUCCAGUUUGGAACCCGAUCCCAUCUGAUCUCGGAAGCUAAGCAGGGUGGGGCCUGGUUAGUACUUGGAUAGGAGACCACCUAGGAAGGCCAGGUGCUGUAGGUG
rnacentral:rRNA from 1 species